rnacentral:rRNA from 1 species
CCUACGGGAGACAGCAGUGGGGAAUAUUGCGCAAUGGGCGCAAGCCUGACGCAGUGACGCCGCGUGAGGGAUGAAGGUCUUCGGAUUGUAAACCUCUGUCAGCAGGGAAGAACGGUCACUGUGCUAAUCAGUAGUGAAUUGACGGUACCUGCAAAGGAAGCACCGGCUAACUCCGUGCCAGCAGCCGCGGUAAUACGGAGGGUGCGAGCGUUAAUCGGAAUUACUGGGCGUAAAGCGCUCGUAGGCGGUAUGUCAAGUCAAUGGUGAAAGCCCCGGGCUCAACGUGGGAACUGCCUUUGAAACUGGCAAACUGGAGUGUGGGAGAGGAUAGUAGAAUUCCAGGUGUAGGAGUGAAAUGCGUAGAGAUCUGGAGGAACAUCAGUGGCGAAGGCGACUAUCUGGCACAUAACUGACGCUGAGGAGCGAAAGCGUGGGUAGCAAACAGGAUUAGAUACCCGUGUAGUC